AUGUUCAGCUCAAGCACCAAGAUGGUGAAGCCUAAUGGCGAGAAGCUGGAUGAGUUCGAGUCGGGCAUUUCCCAGGCCCUGCUGGAGCUGGAGAGGAACUCGGACCUCAAGGCUCAGCUCUGGGAGCUGAAUAUAACUGCAGCUAAGGAAAUUGAAGUUGCUGGUGGUUGGAAAGCUAUCAUAAUCUUUGUUCCCGUUCCUCAACUGAAAUCUUUCCAGAAAAUUCAAGUCCGGCUAGUACAGGAAUUGGAGGAAAAAGUUCAGUGGGAAGCAUGUUGUCUUCAUUACCUGGAGGAGAAUUCUGCCUAAGCCAACUCGAAAAAGCCUUACAAAAAAUAAGCAAAAGCGUCCCAGCAGCGGCACUCUGACAGCUGUGCACGAGGCGAUCCUUGAGGACUUAGUCUUCCCAAGUGAAACUGUGGGCAAGAGAGUCCGUGUGAAAUUGGACGGCAGCCGACUCAUAAAGGUGCACUUGGACAAAGCCCAGGAGAACAACGUGGAGCACAAGGUUGAAACUUUUUCUGGUGUCUAUAAGAAGCUCACAGGCAAGGACGUUAAUUUUGAAUUCCCAGAGUUUCAAUUGUAAACAAACAUGACUAAAUAUAUUCACAGU